UCUUUACAUCGGCGCUUCACCUUCUUCAACUCAUCUUCCAUAGACUGGUAGUCACGAAGACGAGACAGGGAAGAGAGGCGGCCCUGAAACAAAUAAGCGAGCUGCAAAAAGAAAGAACGAGUAAGAACAUACUCAUAAAAAUAGUAAAACAAAAGUACUUACGUUGCUCAGGUUCUGUCCGAUUUCUUCGACAGUCCGGUCCAUCGGAUACCCAGAUAUAGCCCGCAACGUGGUUCGGGCGGCAUCCGUGUCAGCAACCAGCGGGAACUUGGUCCCGUAAUUCCGGGGGUGGGAACCUUGGUAACCCGGCAAUUGUGUCUCCCGGGUAGAAGAAUAUGUGUACCGACCCCGGGAGGACUCCCCAGUAUAAUAUCUCCCAC
rnacentral:lncRNA from 1 species